rnacentral:rRNA from 1 species
GAUGAACGCUAGCGGCAGGCUUAACACAUGCAAGUCGAGGGGUAACAGGGAGUGCGUUGCACUCCGCUGACGACCGGCGCACGGGUGCGUAACGCGUAUGCAACCUACCGUUUUACACGGGGGAUAGUCAAGAGAAAUUUUGAAUAAUACCCCAUACGAUCUUAGUCACACCUGUGAUUUAGAGGAAAACUUCGGUGGUAAAAGAUGGGCAUGCGUCCUAUUAGUUAGAUGGUGAGGUAACGGCUCCCCAUGACUACGAUAGGUAGGGGUCCUGAGAGGGAGAUCCCCCACACUGGUACUGAGACACGGACCAGACUCUUACGGGAGGCAGCAGUGAGGAAUAUUGGACAAUGGAGGCAACUCUGAUCCAGCCAUGCCGCGUGCAGGAAGACUGCCCUAUGGGUUGUAAACUGCUUUUAUACAGGAAGAAACACUCCCUCGUGAGGGGGCUUGACGGUACUGUACGAAUAAGGAUCGGCUAACUCCGUG